ensembl:lncRNA PROX1-AS1 PROX1 antisense RNA 1
CAGAGAGAACCAUUCUCUGCUUUCAAUAGGACAGAAGAGCUCCUUGGCACUGGAUGCCUCCGGGUCUGGUUGAGAGAGGAAUGGUUAGGAGACUGUUCUGAGGAUACGCAGACAUCAUCCAAAGCUUCCUACAUUCAGAUGAGGACAGAGGUUGGGCCAGAGCUUUGUAAGCUUGUUACCUAAGGAUGGUUCUGACCAUGUAAGCAGAUCACAGAAGCACUGUUCACAAUAGCAAAGACUUGGAACCAAUCCAAAUGCCCAUCAAUGAACACCUGGAUAAAGAAAAUGUGGCACAUACACAGCAUGGAAUACUAUGCAGCCAUAAAUAAGGAUGAAUUCAUGUCCUUUGCAGGGACAUGGAUGAAGCUGGAAAACAUCAUUCUCAGCAAACUAAGCUGGAGGCAAAGGAUGCCAAGAUGGGAAAGCCACAUAAUGGAAGGAUCCUGGAUUUCAGAGCUGUCACUUGGAGGAGGGGCACCCAGUGAAGGUGUCUUAUCUAACCCACACCAUAUCUUCAUGAAGUGGCCAUAUGGAUUUGAUCCCUAUCCUUCAGAGGUGCUCAGCCUAAGGGAACACGGAUAGUAGAUUAAGCACUGACCAGAGCCAGCCUUGACAAUGUGCUGAUGGCAACCUAGAACAUAAGCAGAGGAGUAUACAGGACAAGAACUUGAUGGUCUCGGGAAAAUGGACAACAUGACUCAGGUGAAAAAGAUUGAUCAUCAGAUGUUUCUUAUGUAUCAACCUGAUAUUUAAAUCCAUGAAGGACAGAGACGACAAAGGCAGGUGGAAUAGAUAGAGAAGAGAUUCAAGGUCUGAGCUCUACAUUACUCAAACUGUUAGAGAUUAGGAAGAAGAGGAAGACCUGGCAAAAGAAUGUCCUGGGAUGUAGAAAGAAAACCAGAAGCUUGUGUUCUCUGGAAACCAAAUGAAGAAAGGGCUUCCAGAAGGACAGACAAAGUGUAGUGUGUCAAAGGCUCCUGAGCAAUCAGAGGAGAGCACAAAGGGGCUCACAGGACUUUGGUAUCUGGAUCACCCAGUGACACUUCCUGAUCACGAGAAACUGUCAGACCAACAGGGGCACUUUCUGAAACCAGCAGUUCUUCAGUGCCCAAAUGCAACCUUGAUGGUUUGAUUUUGGAGGAUGGCAAUUCAUUAACAGCACUCCCCAGUGAUAAAUAUGAAAACCAAUAAAACCCCCCACCCAAGGCAAUCUCUCCCAGCUCCUCGCUUUGAGUAAAGUGAGUAACCUCCAUUUCUGCCAACUCCUGUCUUGUCUGAAGCCACAUUUCCCCAGCAAUGUCACAUAUGCAUUUCUUGAUCCUGGUCAUUUCUCCUCUUGGGAGAUGAAUCAUAAAGAAAAUGAGAUCUGUGUGCCCUGGUGACUAUGGAUGCAAGAGUCUGCUGCCCUGGAGGGAACAGCUGGAAAAGUAGAUGGUGAAGACGUGUGGGGGGGAAACAGUGGAGAAGGCAUCUUUGCAGGGGAUCAAGGUGACAGAGUGAUUAGUUACACUGUUUUGACAUGUGAGAACAGGGGGUUAUAAAAAUGGAUACAGGAAGAGGGAGAGAAAGUAAGGACCAAAACAUGAAGCCAGUCAUGAAUGUUUUUACAUAAAAAGCAGCAGAUUUACGGCAAAUAUGUGAUGUUUCCACAUUUUCUGCCUCUAGUUAGCAGGGGCAGCACAAAGAGCAUUACUGUGGAGCUGAACUUUGGGUAAAAGAUUAACAGCCAGUCCUUUCUCUCCAGUGUCUGCUUCCUUCUGGGCUUGCCCUGGGGGAAAAGGAGGGCUGGCAUGGAUAUGCCUGCAGCCCUCACCCUAGAUGUUCUUCCACGCCUCUCUGUUCAUUCAUUGCUUAGUCAUUCCUCAGGCAUGGAUUGAGACCACUGUGUGCCCAGGACCGACCUGGCCUAGGAUGGACAUAGAGAUGGAAAAGGCACAGGGAGCAGGUGACAGAGACAAAUCAAGGUCAUGGAGAAUAGCAGAGUAAGAUAGAAGAUGAAGGCAGGAGAUGGGGUUCUUGAGAAAGCGAGAGCAGGACUGACCCGUGUCUGCCUCACCUGUUAUUGCUGUAGCCUCUUCUCCUUGGAGUAUCCCUCCUGCUCUUGCAUCACCUUAGGAACUUGGAUCAGAGAGGAAAGUUACGGCCUGGAUAUGUUGUAGUAGGAGGGGACAAACAUGUUUGGAGACAGAAAUGCUUGGGGAGCGGGUGUUUUUGGGGGAUGAGACUUUCCAGGUCUCUCAAUUCACACUAUGUAGGUAGUUCACUGCACAGCUUAAAUAAGAGACAACUCUCCGGAGUGGUUGGCUCUCAUCCAAAAAAUGUGUUUUGGGCCUCAGAUUUCCAACGGAAGGGCUGAAGCGUGACUGGCCUGAUGUCAACUACUGAAGUCCACCUGCCCCUGCCCUAUCAGGUGUGGAAAUGCUGGGGUUCCUCUCUCAGAACCUACUUCCUGAGAUGUCGAAAUAUACCCAAGAGUAUUUCUGGGCCUUCUCCAAUCCGAAACUGUUUAGUUUUUGUGUGUGUGUGCCUACUUGGCCACACUAGAAGACAGAGGUGGCCUGGGUGAAAUGCAGGUUUCUAGAGGCUCUCUGACAAAGCUCAGGCCACCAGCCCCAGGCCAGCCUGUGGGUAGUCCUGGCUGACAGUCACUUCAUACCUCACCUGGGCUUUUUGCCAAAUUCAAAGUGUGUGUAUAUGUGGAGUGCUGGGUUCCCACCACUGACAGUCUGUAAGUCAUUCACUUAGCUCAAUUUGUCUUACUUUCUUCUGAAAUUUCUUCCUUCUUGUUCUUUUUCCCAGGAGAAACCAGGAGAAGGCAGUCCUAGGGCAGUCUCCGGGCCAGCUUUCCCUAAUAAGAAGGCAGAGCUCCUCUUCACCCAGACUUCAGACCUAUAGAGGCAGCCUGGGGUCCCGGGAUGCCCUUGCACUCAGAGAUGUCCCCAGAGUCCUAGGGAAAUGGAGGAUAACUAGGAGGAAGCUGUUCAUGGCUGGCGAUGAGGUCUAUACCUUCUUGUCCGUCUCAGUGCUGUCUGCUAUUGAAUUUUUGUGCAGAUCACAUUAACUUAAAGCCAGUUCUCAAGAAGCUCCCCCUGCCGCCGGCAUAUCCACCAGUUGCUCCCCUUUCCUGCCAUUAAUCAGGGUCUGCUAGUUAGAGAACAAAUUCCUAUUUGUCCAAACAGUUGCCAACACCCCCACCCCAAGGUAGUUAAAUGAGGAUGAAUGGGUCAUUCUUAUUAAAAAAUGACUUAAAUUUCUCAAAUUCUAUUUAUGUUUCUUUUACAUCCCAAUUUUCUAUAGAUUUAGUGACUCCAAAUGAUAAGGUCUCAAGCUCAUAAUAAUUUAUCCCUUGGGUAACACACAAGGCUUGGUGGUAUUUCAGUAAUAUUCAUGACAACAGCAGCUGUCGUGCUAAUAAGGACUGAUGUCACCAGAGCACUUUCUAUGUGCCAAGCAUGGUGCACAACACUUUACAUACAUUAUGUCAUUUAAUUUUCACAAAACCUCACAGAGGUAAAUAUUAUUAUCUUCCUCUGCAUAUAAGGAAAUGAAUGUUCGGAAAGAUUAAGUCAACUCACUGAGGUCCCAUCAGUGCUCUUUCAUAUGCCUCUGUUGCAGUCUCAUUGAACUGCUGAAAUCAGAAAAACCUGGAGACCUUGUUAACCUUCAGAUUCCUGGGCCCCAUCUUAGAUGCAGGGAGUCAGACUUCCUGGGAGUGUGGCCCUGGAAUUUUCAUUUGUAAACACAUUCCCCAAGAGACCUGUAUGCACACUAAAGUGGGAGAAUUCACGAUCUCUGGCUUUUGUGAUGUUUUAAACGCACUAUAUAAUUUCAGUAGCAAAAGAAUUGGGCUUUGGGAAGGGAGUGUGUGGUGAACCCUGAAAGCUGAAUGGACUUCCUUCCUGUGGAGGAGCAGUGGGAGAAACUGGAGGCAGAGAGCUGUGUUUCAUUCCUUGAUUGAGCCUUUGUGAGUUAUUUAAUCUCUUUCAGUCUCUAUUUUUUUCAUUUGUAAACCAGGAAGGAUACUUGUAUUUUCCAGGUGGUUGUGAGGUGUGAAAGAGAUGAGAGUAGAACAAAAUUUUAAAAGUUGAAAGCACUCAACAAAUGUAUUUGGUAUUAAUCAUGGGUUUCCCUGGGGCCGAGGAAGCCACCAGCCACCGCAGGCCUGUACACAAUGCCAGCCACCAUGUAUGGAUACGGAGGAGGCAAAAGGACUAGCGAACACUCCCAGGGACUGGAUGUCUUGAAUAUCUGUCCAACUUUCUUGGGAGGGGCCAUUUCUUCUGUAACUCAAAGGAAUUUAUUAUUUUUCAGCCAGGGAGGCAUGCUUUCUAUCUACUGCUAGUACUCCCAGACCAAGCUGUUUCAGUGGGACUGAGGUGUGACUUCUGCCUCGGUUUCAUCCAUCUGUGCAGGGAAGAGAAAAAUGCCUGCACCUCCACGGUCACACCCUCUGUUGGAACCACCUCCUUAAGCCAGAAUUAUUGAAUGUUCUCUAUGUGCCAGAAUUAUUAUUAUCUCAUUUGAUUCUCACAACAAUGCCAUGAAGUCUAUACAGACAUACCUUGGAAAUACAGCGGGUUUGGUUCCAGACCACCGCAAUAAAGCUAAUACCGCAAUAAAAUGGGUCACACGAAUUUUUUGGAUUAGGCUUCGGCUUAAGGGAAUGUUGUGGCUGGUUUGAUGUUUUAUCCAGACCGCUAACACUUUCUCCCUAUCAGCAAUGAGGCUGUUUUGCUUUCUUAUCAUUCCUGUGUUCACUGGAGUAGCACUUUUAAUUUCCUUCAAGAACUUUUCCUUUGCAUUCAUAACUUGGCUAACUGUUUGGCACAAGAGGCCUGCCUAGCUUUUGGCCUAUCUAAGCUUUUGACUUGCCUUCCUCACUGAGCUUAAUCAUCUCUAGCCUUGGAUUUAACGUGGAAAAUGUGUGACCCUUCCUUUCACUUGAACACUUGGAAGCUAUUGUAGGGUUAUUAACUGGCCUAAUUCAAUAUUAUUGUGUCUCAGGGAACAGGGAGGCCCAGAGAGAGAGAGACGGGAAAACAGAAAGUCAGUGGGGCAGGCAGAACACACACGUUUAUUUAUUAAGUUUGCUGUCAUAUGUUGGUGCAGUUCAUGCUGCCCCAAAACAAUUACAAUAACA